AUUACAGUAAGAUAUAAUGAGUCUAUUAUAAUUAUAGUAAGAUAGAGUUGCCAAGUUUUUUACUGCAAAAGGCAAACUUCUUUUUUUAAAUUGAGUUUCCAAACUGAGAGUCCCUCUCAGUAGGGCAGGUAACUGGUAACAAGUGGUCAUUUUUUAGAAAGCCUUUUAUGGAGACUACUGUGUUGUUCAAAGUCAGUCAUGUGAAGACUUCUGUGAAAAAUCUCUUCCAGAAUUUAGAGUUAGGGAAUGACUUUCUCCCACUGACAUCUUUCGUACAUUGGAAAAGGAAAGCCACUCACAGUCCUGCUCGUUUUGCUUUGACUGUCAAUGCCUUGGUGCUAAGUUUUUAUGUUCUGUUGCAGAAAGGUAGGUUAGCAUGAAUUUGCUUUUUCUUUUGUCUUAUUACUCAUUUUAGUGUUUUCUUUUUCAGUUUUAUGACUUUGGUGCCUGAUAUCUCAAGCUUUCUCAAAACUCUUUUGUAAGCUGGAGGAGAGAAAUAAGCGAAGACCUGCACAAGAGAGGGGGGUGGGGAACAGAGAAAGUCACUUCUCAGCACCGAAGAGGAAAGUGCUGACCCAGCGCGGGGCACUGGGACUCAGAGCCCAACUCCAGAGCAGAUGGCCGCUGCACAUUCACAUUAAUCACGCAGCUUCCUGCAUGUCAGAUUCAAGAUCUGAUCUGGAGACAAGACCAACAAGGGAUGAUUCCUUGGACAUGUAUGUGUGUUUACUGUUAAAAGGUAAACUGAGACAUAUUAAAACUUUAAGAGUUUAUUUGAGCAGAAAUCUGUUUGAAUUGGGUCGCACCAAACCGGAAGUGUUUAGAAGUGUUCUACUGGCAGGAGCUCAGGCAGACACUUUUAUAGAGAAAAGGUGGAAGUGGAGUGAGGAAGUUAUUAAUUGGCUAAACUUAAAGCCUAGUUGCUUACAUAGGCUGCCCGACGUUAGAACCACAUCAGUCUAA
rnacentral:lncRNA from 1 species